UACGUAGGGGGCUAGCGUUGUCCGGAAUCACUGGGCGUAAAGAGCGUGUAGGCGGCUCGGUAAGUCCGCUGUGAAAGUCCAGGGCUCAACCCUGGAAUGCCAGUGGAAACUGUCGAGCUAGAGUCCGGAAGAGGCGAGUGGAAUUCCUGGUGUAGCGGUGAAAUGCGUAGAUAUCGUAAGGAAGACCAGUGGCGAAGGCGGGUCUCUGGACAGUUCCUGACACUGAGGCACGAAGGCUAGGGGAGCAAACAGG
rnacentral:rRNA from 1 species